rnacentral:rRNA from 1 species
AGUUCGGAUUGGAGUCUGCAACCCGACUCCAUGAAGCUGGAUUCGCUAGUAAUCGCGCAUCGGCCACGGCGCGGUGAAUACGUUCCCGGGCCUUGUACACACCGCCCGUCAAGCCAUGGAAGCCGGGAGUGCCUGAAGUGCGUGAGCGCAAGCAGCGCCCUAAGGUAAAACCGGUGACUGGGGCUAAGUCGUAACAAGGUACC